GAUGCAGCAAUUGAAGGUCUUCCAUCAUUGGGCCAAAUUGUUCAUCCCCAUAGUGAUU
rnacentral:ribozyme from 1 species